ensembl:misc_RNA
GUCCUGUAUUUAUCUAUAGAGCAGGUACAGCGUGGGCAGCGCCAGAGAGCCCUUCCCUACCCUGCCCCGCCCACGCGCCUCCACCCAGGCCUGGAGAGACCAGCUGUAGGGUAAGCGAGGAGC